GGCGCUGUGGCUUAGUUGGUUAAAGCGCCUGUCUAGUACACAGGAGACGCUGGGUCCAAAUCCCAGCAGUGCCU
rnacentral:tRNA from 2 species